UACGUAGGGCGCAAGCGUUGUUCGGAUUCAUUGGGCGUAAAGGGUGCGUAGGCGGCGCGGUAAGUCGGGUGUGAAAUCUCGGAGCUUAACUCCGAAACUGCAUUCGAUACUGCCGUGCUUGAGGACUGGAGAGGAGACUGGAAUUUACGGUGUAGCGGUGAAAUGCGUAGAUAUCGUAAGGAAGACCAGUGGCGAAGGCGGGUCUCUGGACAGUUCCUGACGCUGAGGCACGAAGGCCAGGGGAGCAAACGGG
rnacentral:rRNA from 1 species